rnacentral:piRNA from 1 species
CUCCAGCUCCUGUACUCGACUCAUGCU